rnacentral:rRNA from 1 species
AUUGAACGCUGGCGGCAUGCCUAACACAUGCAAGUCGAACGGGGGUAGCGAUACCCUAGUGGCGGACGGGUGAGGAACGCGUAGGAAUUGGCCCACGAGUGGGGGACAACCUGGGGAAACCCAGGCUAAUACCGCAUACGCUCGCGAGAGGAAAGCGGGGGAUCUACGGACCUCGCGCUGGUGGACAAGCCUACGUCCGAUUAGCUAGUUGGCAGGGUAAAAGCCUACCAAGGCGACGAUCGGUAGCUGGUCUGAGAGGAUGAUCAGCCACACUGGGACUGAGACACGGCCCAGACUCCUACGGGAGGCAGCAGUGGGGAAUAUUGGACAAUGGGCGCAAGCCUGAUCCAGCAAUGCCGCGUGGGUGAAGACGGCCUGCGGGUUGUAAAGCCCUUUAAGCGGGAGGAACGCCGGAACGCGAAUACCGUUUCGGACUGACGUUACCCGCAGAAUAAGCACCGGGCUAACUCCGUGCCAGCAGCCGCGGUAAU